AUUGAACGCUGGCGGCAGGCCUAACACAUGCAAGUCGAGCGAGCGGCGGACGGGUGAGUAAUGUAUGGGGAUCUGCCUGAUGGCGGGGGAUAACUACUGGAAACGGUAGCUAAUACCGCAUACCAUCAGAUGAACCCAUCUGGGAUUAGCUAGUAGGUGGGGUAACGGCUUACCUAGGCGACGAUCCCUAGCUGGUCUGAGAGGAUGAUCGGCAGCACUGGAACAGGGACACGGGCAAGAGUCCUACGGGAGGCAGCAGUGGGGAAGAUGGCACAAUGGGCGAAAGCCGGAUGCAGCCAUGCCGCGUGUAUGAAGAAGGCCUUCGGGUUGUAAAGUACUUUCAGUCGGGAGGCGUUACCUGCAGAAGAAGCACCGGCUAACUCCGUGCCAGCAGCCGCGGUAAUUC
rnacentral:rRNA from 1 species